GGAAAAUUACAAUUGUCCCAGAAUAGGGCAGCACGGCGUUCUCUUAAAUGUACACAGAGGGCUAACAUUAAUACUAUGCAUGUCAAUCUCUCCUGGCUCAAAGUGGAGGAGAGAUUGACUUCAUCAAUACUUGUAUUUGUGAAAAGUAUUGACAUGUUGAAUGCAGCGAGCUGUCUGUUUAAACUACUAGCACACAGCUCAGACACCCAUGCAUACCCCACAAGACAUGCCACCAGAGGUCUCUUCAAAGUCUCCAAGUCCAGAACAGGCUAUGGGAGGCACACAGUACUACAUAGAGCCAUGACUACAUGGAACUCUAUUCCACGUCAAGUAACUGAUGCAAGCAGUAAAAUCAGAUUUAAAAACCAGACAAAACUACACCUUAUGGAACAGCAGGGACUGUGAAGAGACACACACAUGCAUACACACACGUACAGUACACAUGGAUAUUAUGUUGUAGAUAUGUGGUAGUGGCCUGAAGGAACACAGUGUUGUGAAAUGUAAUGUUUUUAGAACUGCCUUAAUGUUCCUGGAGCCCAGGAAGAGUAGCUGCUGCCUUGGCAGGAACUAAUGAGGAUCCAUAAUAAAACCCAGGAAGAGAAGCUGCUGCCUUGGCAGGAACUAAUGGGGAUCCAUAAUAACCCCAGGAACAGUAUCUGCUGCCUUGGCAGGAACUAAUGGGGAUCCAUAAUAACCCCAGGAACAGUAGCUGCUGCCUUGGCAGGAACUAAUGAGGAUCCAUAAUAACCCCCAGGAAGAGUAGCUGCUGCCUUGGCAGGAACUAAUGGGGAUCCAUAAUAAACCCCAGGAAGAGUAGCUGCUGCCUUGGCAGGAACUAAUGAGGAUCCAUAAUAAACCCCAGGAAGAGUAGCUGCUGCCUUGGCAGGAACUAAUGAGGAUCCAUAAUAAACCCCAGAAGAGUAGCUGCUGCCUUGGCAGGAACUAAUGAGGAUCCAUAAUAAACCCCAGGAAAAGUAGCUGCUGCCUUGGCAGGAACUAAUGAGGAUCCAUAAUAACCCCAGGAAGAGUAGCUGCUGCCUUGGCAGGAACUAUUGAGGAUCCAUAAUAAACACUAGUACAAAUACAUGUUGUUCAACUCUGUGCUGGUGGUUGUUGUGGCAACCCUGAAGGAGGAAAUGGAGAAGAGGUCUCACUUUUACUUGCUGUCCUACAACAGGUACCUCAGUGGUGAUCAUUGUGUGUGUGAGUCUGGCUGUGUUGGUGUUUGCUGUCAUCACCCUCAUAUUCUACAGGUGCUGACGACGCAACAAGGCUCUAGGUGAGAUACCAUCAAUAUCACACACACACAUAUACAUACAAAGAUUUAUAAUAUACAGUCUAUUGUGUGUUUCACAGGGUCAAUCUCGAACAGGCCUGAUGCAGACACAGGAAGCACUGAAGAGGUUGAUGAUGAGGAAGAUGGUGAUGAUGAAGAAAAUAUAACUUCCACCCACAAUGCAGCGGCCCCUCAGCCCGUGUCUACCGCUGACCCAGAAUGCAUUGCUCAUGUCCCCGCCCUCUACCAAUCAGCCUUUUAAGCACUCGACCCUAAAGCAUUGGACCAGAACCUCAACAAUAUCACAACUACUAACUCCGGAUAGACUGUAGCACAGAGAUCCUAAUAAAAUCUG
rnacentral:lncRNA from 1 species